UUAUUUCCAUUCAUUUUUUAAAAAAUAUUUUAACUGGUUUUACUAUUUAUUGGAGUUGUGACAAAAAUGAGUUUGACAGCUCUGCUUGGCAGACUUCAUUCUCAAGUGGCCACAAAGAGCACAUGAAGGGUUAACGGAGACCUGAGGGAGGCUUGAUCCCGCAUAUUGUGGUCACAACACCUGAGGUGUGUUCACAUAAUUUAAUACCUUCAAAUGUCAUCACUUUAUUGGCUAUACGGAUGGAUGUGGCAGCCCCACACACGCUCUGACAGCGCCCCCUAUUGACACGACUCCGUCACGGGCUAUUGCUGCUUUACAAGAAUGGGAGUCCAGCUGCUUCUGUUUCUCAUCUGCAACUCGCUCCCUCGAGUCUGCCUCGGGGGUCCGGAAGAAAAGAACAACCCUCGCGAGGCCAAUGAGGAGUGGUUUGUAUGAAUAAGCAUAACAUGAGCAAUGUGGAUUUGCUCCCUGUAUUGCAUCUGCACAUAACAGCAGGCAUUUAUUGGCUGCGUAUGAAAUUCCAACCCUAUCCACUUCAUCUACCAGUUUUUGCCCCUCCGACCGCCACAAUGGGGUUGGGGUGGGGGGACUAGGGUUUGUCUUAGACUCACCUGUCAUUGUCCACGUUGCGGAAGCCUGGCAGAAUAUGCCUGAAGCUGGAGUUGCGGUCCAGUUUGGGUUGACUCUUGGUGCGCUUGAUGGAGCCCUUCAGCCGCCGACUCAAGAAGCCCU